AUUGAACGCUGGCGGAAUGCUUUACACAUGCAAGUCGAGCGGCAGCGCGGGGGCAACCCUGGCGGCGAGCGGCGAACGGGUGAGUAACAUAUCGGAACGUACCCAGUCGUGGGGGAUAACUAUCCGAAAGGAUAGCUAAUACCGCAUACGUCCUGAGGGAGAAAGCGGGGGAUCGCAAGACCUCGCGCGAUUGGAGCGGCCGAUAUCGGAUUAGCUAGUUGGUGGGGUAAAGGCUCGACCAAGGCGACGAUCCGUAGCGGGUCUGAGAGGACGACCCGCCACACUGGAACUGAGACACGGUCCAGACUCCUACGGGAGGCAGCAGUGGGGAAUUUUGGACAAUGGGGGCAACCCUGAUCCAGCCAUUCCGCGUGAGUGAAGAAGGCCUCGG
rnacentral:rRNA from 1 species